AGCUUUGCACAGUGGCAGUAUCAUAGCCAAUGAGGUUCAUCUGAGGUGUGAUUAUUGCUAAUUGAAAGCACUUCACAGAUCG
rnacentral:snRNA from 1 species